CUUGCACCAGUGGGGUCCCUCGGCCUGGCCUGUGGGAUCGGGCUGAAACCAGCUCUCCAACAUCCCCUGAAGGGUCAUGGAUUGCUAGAGGGCGCAGGCCAGGCCGAGGGACCCCACCGGUGCACG
rfam:Myotis brandtii contig312734, whole genome shotgun sequence.